GUUGAAUGAGACCAAACUAUACUAAGAUCUUUAAUAUGAAGGACCUUAAAGAAGCUUUAUUUAUACUUAGUUUUGAGAUUCACAGGAAUAGUCUAUGAUAUAUUAGGGUUGUCUUAGAGAGCUCACAUUGAUCGUAUACUGAAUGGAUUUGAUAUGCAUAAUUACAAACCUAGAGAUGUAUAUAUGGUCAAGGAAGAUAAAUUGAAUAGAAACCAGUGUCCUAAGGAUAAUGUAGAAAAAAUUUCAUGAGAAAUGUGCCUUAUUCAACUACUAUAUGUAGUUUCAUAGAUGCAAUGAUUCACAC
rnacentral:lncRNA from 1 species